AGUGAACGCUGGCGGUAGGCCUAACACAUGCAAGUCGAACGGCAGCACAGUAAGAGCUUGCCCUUACGGGUGGCGAGUGGCGGACGGGUGAGGAAUACAUCGGAAUCUACUUUUUCGUGGGGGAUAACGUAGGGAAACUUACGCUAAUACCGCAUACGACCUACGGGUGAAAGCAGGGGAUCUUCGGACCUUGCGCGAUUGAAUGAGCCGAUGUCGGAUUAGCUAGUUGGCGGGGUAAAGGCCCACCAAGGCGACGAUCCGUAGCUGGUCUGAGAGGAUGAUCAGCCACACUGGAACUGAGAAAAGGUCCAGACUCCUACGGGAGGCAGCAGUGGGGAAUAUUGGACAAUGGGCGCAAGCCUGAUCCAGCCAUACCGCGUGGGUGAAGAAGGCCUUCGGGUUGUAAAGCCCUUUUGUUGGGAAAGAAAAGCAGCAGGUUAAUACCCCGCUGUUCUGACGGUACCCAAAGAAUAAGCACCGGCUAACUUCGUG
rnacentral:rRNA from 1 species